GACGAACGCUGGCGGCGUGCUUAACACAUGCAAGUCGAACGGAAAGGCCCUGCUUUUGUGGGGUGCUCGAUUGGCGAACGGGUGAGUAACACGUGAGUAACCUGCCCUUGACUUUGGAUAACUUUAGGAAACUGGGGCUUAUACCGGAAAGGCGCUCCUGCUGCAUGGUGGGGGAUGGGAAGUUUAGGCGGUUGGGGAUGGACUCGAGGCUUAUCAGCUUGUUGGUGGGGUAGUGGCGUACCAAGGCCUUGACGGGUAGCCGGCCUGAGAGGGUGACCAGCCACAUUGGGACUGAGAGACGGACCAGACUCGUAUGGGAGGCAGUAGUGGGGAAUAUUGCACAACGGGCGGAAGCCUGAUGCAGCAACGCCACGUGCGGGAUGACGGCCUUCGGGUUGAAAACCGCUUUCGCCUGUGACGAAGCGUGAGUGGCGGUAAUGGGUAAAGAAGCACCGGCUAACUACGUG
rnacentral:rRNA from 1 species